rnacentral:rRNA from 1 species
ACUUGAUGUGCCAGUUUCUCUCGUCUAGGGCAUGUUUUUAGGUCAUGUUUUUGGGGAGGGGUCGCUUAAUGGGCCAUUCGAAAUUCAAUACAGCAGGUUGCUUGGGCAGCUCUGUGACAUUAUCAAAGUGUGAGAACCGGGCUUCCGGAACCCGCAGCCAGCGUCGCCUGGUCCAACGACUACAAGAUAUAUGGCCAGGGAUCAGCUCCUUGGUUAAGAUAUAGUCUCCUCCAGCAGAGCAAUCUGCGGGGCCUAGUGCAUUAAAUCAGUUAUCGUUCAUUUGAUAGUACCUUACUACUUGGAUACCUGUGGUAAUUCUAGAGCUAAUACAUGCUAAAAACCUCGACUUCGGAAGGGGUGUAUUUAUUAGAUAAAAAACCAAUGCCCUUCGGGGCUCCUUGGUGAUUCAUAAUAACUUAACGAAUCGCAUGGCCUUGAGCCGGCGAUGGUUCAUUCAAAUUUCUGCCCUAUCAACUUUCGAUGGUAGUAUAGUGGACUACCAUGGUUUCUACGGGUAACGGGGAAUUAGGGUUCUAUUCCGGAGAGGGAGCCUGAGAAACGGCUACCACAUCCAAGGAAGGCAGCAGGCGCGCAAAUUACCCAAUCCCGACACGGGGAGGUAGUGACAAUAAAUACUGAUCCAGGGCUCUUUUGGGUCUUGGAAUUGGAAUGAGUACAAUUUAAAUCCCUUAACGAGGAACAAUUGGAGGGCAAGUCUGGUGCCAGCAGCCGCGGUAAUUCCAGCUCCAAUAGCGUAUAUUAAAGUUGUUGCAGUUAAAAAGCUCGUAGUUGAAACUUGGGCCUGGCUGACCGGUCCGCCUCACCGCGUGCACUGGCUCGGCCGGGCCUUUCCUUCUGGGGAACCGCAUGGCCUUCAUUGGUCGUGUUGGGGAUCCAGGACUUUUACUUUGAAAAAAUUAGAGUGUUCAAAGCAGGCCUAUGCUCGAAUACAUUAGCAUGGAAUAAUAGAAUAGGACGUGUGGUUCUAUUUUGUUGGUUUCUAGGACCGCCGUAAUGAUUAAUAGGGAUAGUCGGGGGCAUCAGUAUUCAAUUGUCAGAGGUGAAAUUCUUGGAUUUAUUGAAGACUAACUACUGCGAAAGCAUUUGCCAAGGAUGUUUUCAUUAAUCAGUGAACGAAAGUUAGGGGAUCGAAGACGAUUGUAUUUGGUCGUCCAUAGUGAGUAGCAUCAUCUAGUUGGGGGCACUCUCCCUCCAGGGAGGAGUGUCCCUGGCCACAUCACCAAACUGAUGGGGCUCCCCUGCCGUUUCUGGCGGGGCGAAACCCACAGCCAAGCUCUUCGGAGUGCAGUCUACAGACUGAAUGUUGAUGGGUGGGUCUUAAGGGACCCGUUUCUAAUAUAGUCGAGUCCCUCGGAAGCAUUCUCUUCCGGGGGUGUUUUACGCAGAUACCGUCGUAGUCUUAACCAUAAACUAUGCCGACUGGGGAUC